GACGAACGCUGGCGGCGUGCUUAACACAUGCAAGUCGAACGGAGAGGCCUGCUUUCCCUUGUGGAUUGCGGGUACUCGAGUGGCGAACGGGUGAGUAACACGUGAGUGAUCUGCCCCCAACUUGGGUAUAAGCCUGGGAAACUGGGUCUAAUUCCCGAUAGGACUGCAGGGUGGUGCCUGUGGUGGAAAACGAUUUUCUAGUGGUUGGGGAUGAGCUCGCGGCCUAUCAGCUUGUUGGUGGGGUAAUGGCCUACCAAGGCGGCGACGGGUAGCCGGCCUGAGAGGGUGGACGGCGACAUUGGGACUGAGAUACGGCCCAGACUCCUACGGGAGGCAGCAGUGGGGAAUAUUGCACAAUGGGCGGAAGCCUGAUGCAGCGACGCCGCGUGGGGGAUGACGGCCUUCGGGUUGUAAACUCCUUUCGACCGCGAGGAAGCCACCUGGUUGGAAGGGUGGUGACGGUAGUGGUAGAAGAAGCACCGGCUAACUACGUG
rnacentral:rRNA from 1 species